CGGUUAAAAAGCUCGUAGUUGGAUUUCUGUUGAGGAUGACCGGUCCGCUCUUUGAGCGCGUAUCUGGUUCAGCCUUGGCAUCCUCUUGGGGAACGCUACUGUGCUUGAUUGCAUGGGGCGGUAUUCAAGACUUUUACUUUGAGGAAAUUAGAGUGUUCACUGCAAGCGUUAGCAAUUGAAUACAUUAGCAUGGAAUAAUAAUAUAGGACCUUGGUACUAUUUUGUUGGUUUCUAGAACUAAGGUAAUGAUUAAUAGGGACAAUUGGGGGCAUUCGUAUUAACGCGUCAGAGGUGGAAUUCUUAGAUUGCGUUACGACGAACUACUGCGAAAGCAUUUGCCAAGGAUGUUUUCAUUGAUCAAGAACGAAAGUAUGGGGAUC
rnacentral:rRNA from 1 species